UCCUCGAUAGCUCAGCGGUAGAGCAUUCGGCUGUUAACCGAAGGGUCGUUGGUUCGAACCCAACUCGGGGAGC
rnacentral:tRNA from 2 species